rnacentral:rRNA from 1 species
UGACGAGCGGCGGACGGGUGAGUAAUGUCUGGGAAACUGCCUGAUGGAGGGGGAUAACUACUGGAAACGGUAGCUAAUACCGCAUAAUGUCGCAAGACCAAAGAGGGGGACCUUCGGGCCUCUUGCCAUCAGAUGUGCCCAGAUGGGAUUAGCUAGUAGGUGGGGUAACGGCUCACCUAGGCGACGAUCCCUAGCUGGUCUGAGAGGAUGACCAGCCACACUGGAACUGAGACACGGUCCAGACUCCUACGGGAGGCAGCAGUGGGGAAUAUUGCACAAUGGGCGCAAGCCUGAUGCAGCCAUGCCGCGUGUAUGAAGAAGGCCUUCGGGUUGUAAAGUACUUUCAGCGGGGAGGAAGGUGUUGAGGUUAAUAACCUCAGCAAUUGACGUUACCCGCAGAAGAAGCACCGGCUAACUCCGUGCCAGCAGCCGCGGUAAUACGGAGGGUGCAAGCGUUAAUCGGAAUUACUGGGCGUAAAGCGCACGCAGGCGGUCUGUCAAGUCGGAUGUGAAAUCCCCGGGCUCAACCUGGGAACUGCAUUCGAAACUGGCAGGCUAGAGUCUUGUAGAGGGGGGUAGAAUUCCAGGUGUAGCGGUGAAAUGCGUAGAGAUCUGGAGGAAUACCGGUGGCGAAGGCGGCCCCCUGGACAAAGACUGACGCUCAGGUGCGAAAGCGUGGGGGAGCAAACAGGAUUAGAUACCCUGGUAGUCCACGCCGUAACGAUGUCGAUUUGGAGGUUGUGCCCUUGAGAGUGCUUCCGGAGCUAACGCGUUAAAUCGACCGCCUGGGGAGUACGGCCGCAAGGUU